rnacentral:rRNA from 1 species
CCUACGGGAGGCAGCAGUGAGGAAUAUUGGUCAAUGGCCGGAAGGCUGAACCAGCCAUGCCGCGUGAAGGUCAGUUCCCUAUGGGCGUUAAACUUCUUUUGUGCGGGAGCAAUAAUGGUCACGUGUGGCCAGACGAGAGUACCUUACGAAUAAGCAUCGGCUAACUCCGUGCCAGCAGCCGCGGUAAUACGGGGGAGGCAAGCGUUAUCCGGCAUUACGGGGUGUAAGGGGUGCGUGGGGGGUUUCUUAAGUCAGAGGGGAAAGGCUACGGCGCAACCGUAUAAAGCCUUUGAUACUGGGAAACUUGAGUGCAGGAGAGGAGAGUGGAAUUCGUGGUGUAGCGGUGAAAUGCGUAGAUAUUAGGAGGAACACCAGUUGCGAAGGCGGCUCUCUAGACUGUAACUGACACUGAGGCACGAAAGCGUGGGGAGCAAACAGGAUUAGAUACCCCAGUAGUC